UGCCUGGCUUUCCGCUGCGCUGACAAGGCUUGGUUUAUUACAUCCAAUGUCCAAAGAGACCACUUCUCUCUCACAUAUCUCUGGCAAUUUCUGGCUUCCUUUUCUUUCCCCAGCGUUCGCUGCUUUCGCAUUCUUCACUGUCACAAUAGACAUCAGGAGCUUCCUGGUUCUCAUUUCUCUCUUAGCUCUGACAAUGGAUGCCCAGAAGUGAAAACUGAGUGUCCGCCACUUCCUCCCCAGCUGGUACUUGACAUUAUGCCGUCUCUGCAACCGGCUUUUACGUCGCAUGGAGAGAAGGGAGGUUCCUUUGACGGCGAGCUUUAGGCCGCGGAGGCUCCUUCGCCGGCCUGGUUUGUGCUUGGUGGCUCUAGUGGGGGCUGUGUUGGUUUGGGAAGGGUUGGGACGCCACGCCACAGGCAGGCUGCAAGGGACAUGGGACUGUGUGACAGGGAGGAGCUUUUCAUUGCUGUGCACGGUGAAUGCAGGAUGAGGGGGCUGAACAGAGGACAGACCCGGGUCAGAAAAGUCCUGAGACACAGAGGUCUUGUGGAUUCCAUCGGUCGUACCAGUGAGACCCGCAGCGGAGAUGAGAGAAGGCGUCGUUUUGCAUUUGCAAUUACUGAGUUUUUUACGUUUUCUCUCGAGGCGGGCCGAGACCAUCGGCUCUGGUCUUGAGUUUGAUUGGAGAGCUGAGAGCUUUUGGCUCAUGAGUGAGCCGUUUGGAUUGGUCACAUUCUCCAGGGGAUGGCUCCCCAUUCGUCUUCCUUCAGGUUGACCCAAUGAAGCAAAGCAAGACAACAAAUCCGUGUCUUCACUUUUUGCCUCCUCUGUCUCCUCAGCCAACAGGCUACAAGUACUAAACACACCAGACGGUAAGAGAAACAACAUUGCCUUAGAUGUCUCUUGUACCAAAUGGCAAAAACAACAACUUGUCCUAAGCAAAACUUUGAUAGGUAGCUAAAAAAAAAUUUACAUCAAAAACAUAGGUUGUCUCUGGCAUUGUCAUUUCAGUUAGGGCCAUAGCACACAUAGCCUUAUAUGAUAUAGCCUUCACAUUCACACACAGCCAACGGCAAAAAAAUUAUGAUAAAGAUGUUUUAAUUGGCUACCAUGAAUCAUGACUACCUGCGUGGUAUAAGGAGAAGUUACGGUAAAUAGAUGAUCGUCUAUUUUAGAACACGUAGCUAAGAGGCUACCUGAGUAUAGUCAACUCGUCCUCGUUUAGUUAGCACGUGUCAGUGUUUCGGGAAAAACAAGGGUUAUGCAAUCAUUAAAUACGAAAGGUCGGUAUGUUUCAUAUUGUCUUGACUGGCUGAAAUGCAUUAGUAGCAACAUGUAUUUACCCAAAUACGUCGACACCUUCACCACAAAGGUGUUUCAGACUCUCUCUAGAUGACCAGUCUUGUACAUUGCAAAACACUACAAAAAAUC
ensembl:lncRNA